rnacentral:lncRNA from 1 species
AACAGUUCAGCCUUCGCUGAAAACAAGCAGAGUAUGGAUUCAACAAUUAAGUUGGAGAACAGAUUUGGUCUCCUUGCAGAAAACGACAUUUAAGCUCUCUGAGUAGAAAAUUCCUUAAUAUAUUCCAUUAGGUUAAGCUUGUCCUCUCUGUAUAAAUAACAAAGGAUGUAUAAGUUCUUAAGUAUAAAAAGAAAAAGAAAUUCUUAAGUAAUAAAAAUGGAGUUUAAGCUUUGAGUAUAUCUUCUGUUUCUAUUCUCUGUUUACCUUUGCUUUCAGUUACAACGGAUAUCAUGCGAAAGAGAGGGACUCGAGAGAAGAUUGGUGAGGUUAAUGGUGUUUCACUACAACCGAAACAGCGGCUUUUACCAC